GGGGGCGUGGCGGAACGGCAAACGCCGAGGACUUAAACUCCUCCGUCCGCGAGGACUUGCAGGUUCGAAUCCUGCCGCCCCUACCA
rnacentral:tRNA from 4 species